rfam:Canis lupus familiaris chromosome 11, whole genome shotgun sequence.
GGAGCGGUGAUGAUGCCAACAUGCCAUCUGAGUACCUGUGCUGAGAACCAGAGGCUGUUUCUGAGCUU